rnacentral:rRNA from 1 species
AGCAGCCGCGGUAAUUCCAGCUCCAAUAGCGUAUAUUAAAGUUGUUGCAGUUAAAAGCUCGUAGUUGAAUUUCGGGGUUUAUCCGUUGGUCGGGCUUUUUGGUCUGUACUGGCGUGAUGGAUUCCUACCUUCUGAAUAACCGGCAUGUCAUUAAUUUGGUGCGCCGGGGAAGCAGGACUGUUACCUUGAAAAAAGUUAGAGUGCUUAAAGCAGGCUUAUGCCUGAAUACAUUAGCAUGGAAUAAUGAAAUAGGACGGCAUGGUUCUAUUUUGUUGGUUUCUAGGAUCACCGUAAUGAUUAAUAGGGAUAGUUGGGGGCAUUAGUAUUCAAUUGUCAGAGGUGAAAUUCUUGGAUUUAUUGAAGACUAACUUCUGCGAAAGCAUUUGCCAAGGAUGUUUUCAUUAAUCAAGAACGAAAGUUAGGGGAUCGAAGACGAUCAGAUACCGUCGUAGUCUUAACCAUAAACUAUGCCGACUAGGGAUCGGACGAUGUUAAUUUUUUCAAUGACUCGUUCGGCGCC